UUUAGGCUUAGGCUUAGGCUUAGCCUUAAGCUUAGGUUUAUGCUAAGGCUUAGGCCUAGGCUUUAGAUUAGGGUUAGGCUAAGAAUUCGGCUUAAGCUUAGGCGGAUCCUCAAGUUUGGCCUCGAGUUAGGCUUAGACAUAGAUUUAGGCUACGACUUACAAUUAGGUUCAGGCUUACGGUUAGGCUUAGGC
ensembl:ncRNA F07E5.11 ncRNA